GAGAGCAGUAUUGCUAAGGGCCCUGGGAUGGGUGUAAGUAGCGCAACCUGACACAGAUACCACCACAGCGGCAGUGUGCCAGGCUUAUCACCUCCACCCCACGAUAAUAUGUGCCGUUUUCGAAACACAACUAUGUGAUUCUGGUGAUAUCUACUACUUCAAUGCGAGUCUUUCUACCACAAAGCAUUCACGAGUGGAACGCGGUGGAACGCAUUUGUCAUCCCGCGAUGACCGGAAGUGAUGUUCAAAACAUCGUCAUGAGAGACGCGCUGAUACGCUGAUGUCACUUCCGGUAAUACCGGAAGCCGUGCGCCGGAACUCUACUCGCGGUGACACGCAGAUGUGGUUCUCUAUCACCAGGAAGUAAUGUAAUAGAAAAUAAAGGAUUGUUGCCUCUA